UUUACGGAGAGUUUGAUCCUGGCUCAGAACGAACGCUGGCGGCGGGCUUAAUACAUGCAAGUCGAACGAGAAAGUCUGGCUUCGGCUGGACGAGUAAAGUGGCGAACGGGUGAGUAACACGUGGGUAAUCUGCCCUCGGGUUCGGGAUAAGCCCUCGAAAGGGGGUCUAAUACCGAAUAAUAUCUUUGGAUGGCAUCUUCCGAAGAUCAAAGAUGGGGCAACCUAUCGCUUGAGGAUGAACCCGCGCUCCAUUAGCUUGUUGGCGGGGUAACGGCCCACCAAGGCUGUGAUGGAUAGCCGGCCUGAGAGGGUGAUCGGCCACACUGGGACUGAGAUACGGCCCAGACUCCUACGGGAGGCAGCAGUAGGGAAUAUUGCGC
rnacentral:rRNA from 1 species